rnacentral:rRNA from 1 species
AGUCGAGCGGUAACAGGAAUUAGCUUGCUAAUUUGCUGACGAGCGGCGGACGGGUGAGUAACGCGUAGGAAUCUGCCUGGUAGUGGGGGACAACAUGUGGAAACGCAUGCUAAUACCGCAUACGCCCUACGGGGGAAAGGAGGGGAUCUUCGGACCUUUCGCUAUCAGAUGAGCCUGCGUGAGAUUAGCUAGUUGGUGGGGUAAAGGCUCACCAAGGCGACGAUCUCUAGCUGGUCUGAGAGGAUGAUCAGCCACACUGGGACUGAGACACGGCCCAGACUCCUACGGGAGGCAGCAGUGGGGAAUAUUGGACAAUGGGCGCGAGCCUGAUCCAGCCAUGCCGCGUGUGUGAAGAAGGCCUUCGGGUUGUAAAGCACUUUCAGAGGUGAGGAAGGGUGUGCCGUUAAUACCGGUAUGCUUUGACGUUAGCCUCAGAAGAAGCACCGGCUAACUCUGUGCCAGCAGCCGCGGUAAUACAGAGGGUGCGAGCGUUAAUCGGAAUUACUGGGCGUAAAGC